rnacentral:sRNA from 1 species
GCUGGGCACGGUGGCUCACGCCUGUAAUCCCAGCAGCUCGGGAGGCUGAGACAGGAGGAUCGAGAGUUCAAAGCCAGCCUCAGCAACAGCGAGGCACCAAGCCACUCAGUGAGACCCUGACUCUA